rnacentral:rRNA from 1 species
UACGGAGGGUGCAAGCGUUAUCCGGAUUCACUGGGUUUAAAGGGUGCGUAGGUGGGCAGGUAAGUCAGUGGUGAAAUCCCCGAGCUUAACUUGGGAACUGCCGUUGAUACUAUCUGUCUUGAAUGUUGUGGAGGUAAGCGGAAUAUGUCAUGUAGCGGUGAAAUGCUUAGAUAUGACAUAGAACACCAAUUGCGAAGGCAGCUUGCUACACAAUUAUUGACUCUGAUGCACGAAAGCGUGGGGAUCAAACAGG